GACGAACGCUGGCGGCGUGCUUAACACAUGCAAGUCGAACGGACGGGCCCUGCUCUUGCGGGUUGCUCGAGUGGCGAACGGGUGAGUAACACGUGUGUAACCUGUCCUUGUCUUUGGGAUAAAUUCAGGAAACUGGGGCUAAUACCGGAUAGGAUCUCCUGCUGCACGGUGGGGGAUGGAAAGUUUCGGCGGUUGGGGCUGGACUCGCGGGUUAUCCGCUUGUUGGUGGGGUAGUGGCUUACCAAGGCUGUGACGGGUAGCCGGCCUGAGAGGGUGACCGGCCACAUUGGGACUGAGAUACGGCCCAGACUCCUACGGGAGGCAGCAGUGGAGAAUAUUGCACAAUGGGCGGACGCCUGAGGCAGCAACGUCGCGUGCGGGAUGACGGCCUUCGGGUUGUAAACCGCUUUCGCCGGUGACGAAGCGAGAGUGACGGUAAUGGGUAAAGAAGCACCGGCUAACUACGUG
rnacentral:rRNA from 1 species